AUGGCUAUGACUCUUGGCACCUCCCGGAUCUGGGUUGAAUUGGCAAACCUAUAAAAAGGACCAUGUACUACCUCUCUCAGCAAUGGCAAGAAGUUCGUACCUUCCCUCUGACCUUACUCUAUAACCUUCACUCAAGCCAUUUCUAACUGGUUUGGGUACCUGUCAUCCGAAUCUCCCCAGAAAUCUUCUUUAUGGGCCCCUUCGGAGGCUGAGGUGUACACAGACGUGUUUUUUAAAGACUUUCACCAAGUGCUUUACCA